UGGUAAUUCCAGAGCUAAUACAUGCAAACAACAUGGAUCCCUGCAGCAAUGUGGGUGAAACAUGUGCUUUUAUUAGAUUAAAACCAUGUCCACUCUCGGGUGGGCUUGUUUUAGAUGAAUCUGGAUAAUUAUGGCUGAUCGUAUGGUCUUGCACCGACGAUAGAUCAUUCAAAUGUCUGCCCUAUCAACUAUUGAUGGUAGUAUAGAGGACUACCAUGGUUGCAACGGGUAACGGGGAAUCAGGGUUCGAUUCCGGAGAGGGAGCCUGAGAAACGGCUACCACAUCUAAGGAAGGCAGCAGGCGCGUAAAUUACCCAAUCCCGGCACGGGGAGGUAGUGACGAAAAAUAACAAUACAGGA
rnacentral:rRNA from 1 species